rnacentral:misc_RNA from 1 species
UUGUCCAGUGUAUGCACAUAGAAGAGCUGGGUAGGUCACAGUGCACAUACUUAUUUGUAUGGAUCGAACUGUGAAAUGUCCAACAUCUGCAAAUAGGGCCUCAGUUCCUGUUAUGGCAAGGACAAUGCCACCAAGGGAAAUCCAUGCUUUAUCUUUGUUCCUCUUGAAAUAAUCUACUAUAUACUUGGGGUUUAAAGCUUUGAUAACAGCAGGAUCAUUUUUGAAGAAAUUGUAAACGCCAAUGCCACCAAUCAUUGCAAACCAAACACAAAUUAUUGGAGCAAAAGCGUAGCCCACUUUAUCAGUUCCGAAUCUUUGAACCAUGAACAGGCAGAUCAAGAUCACUACUGAUAUCCAUACAAUCAUAUUAUCAGUCAUUUUUGUAGUGGCUUGCUUGAUCCCUCC